rnacentral:sRNA from 1 species
CCAUGGAUCUGCUGUCGCCGCCGCUCUGCACGCUGCCGCCGGGCCCCGAGCCGCCCCGCUUCGUGUGCUACUGCGAAGGGGAGGGAAGCGGGGAGGGGGACCGCGGCGGCUUCAACCUCUAGUGAGUGGGGUGUCCGCGGGGAGGUAGGGGUGCGGGUAGGGUUGCGGGCGGCCCCGCCUGACAGGCCUUCUCCCCCAGCGUGACCGACGCCGCGGAGCUUUGGAGCACCUGCUUCACACCGGACAGCCUGGCGGCCCUCGUGGGUAACUGGGCGGGUCUGGGAGCCGCCACACCCCUCCCUGCAGUCCAGAUCGUCUAUGGGGUGACCGACAUCUGGGAUUCCCCAGAAGGCUCUGACACCCUCUGCCCGCCCUGUAGCUGUAGUCCUCACACUGGCUAGGGGUCCCAAGUGGCUCUGGGGUCGGGCAGGUUUCGGGUGCUCCCAGUGGGCCUCGGGUUCCAGGCAGCUGUUGACAAGCCCCUGUGCUCUCUAGAAAGCCCGUUUUGGCCUGAGUGCGGCUGAGGACAUCACCCCCCGGUUCAGGUGAGACCCAAGCAGGGAGGAAGGGUGGGUGGGGAGGAGGAGGGUCUGCCACAGCUCUCAGCACCUCUCCUUUCCCAGGGCAGCCUGUGAGCAGCAAGCUGUGGCUCUGACCCUGCAUGAGGACAGAGCAUCCCUGACGCUUUCAGGGGGGCCCUCGGCACUGGCCUUUGACCUCUCCAAGGUACCAGGCCCAGAGGCAGCCCCCAGGCUGCAGGCGCUGACACUGGGCCUGGCAAAACGCGUGUGGAGCCUGGAGCGGCGACUGGCAGCUGCAGAAGAGACAGCUGCCAGCCCCAGGAAGAGCCCCCGGCCUGCAGGGCCUCAGCUCUUCUUACCAGG